rnacentral:misc_RNA from 1 species
GAUGAAGAACGCAGCGAAAUGCGAUACGUAAUGUGAAUUGCAGAAUUCAGUGAAUCAUCGAAUCUUUGAACGCAUAUUGCGCUCUUUGGUAUUCCGAAGAGCAUGCUUGUUUGAGUAUCAGUAAACACCUCAACUUCCAUAUCUUUUUUGAAAUGGGAGUUGGACUUGAGUGAUCCCAACGCUUUUCCUCACCGAAAAGUGGCGGGUUACUUGAAAUGCAGGUGCAGCUGGACUUUUCUCUGAGCUAUAAGCAUAUCUAUUUAGUCUGCCUAAAAAACAGAUUAUUACCUUUGCUGCAGCUAACAUAAAGGAGAUUAGUUCUUGUGCUGACUGAUGCAGGAUUCACAAAGACAGCUUCGGCCGACUUUGUAAACUCGAUCUCAAAUCAAGUAAGACUACCCGCUGAACUUAAGCAUAUCAAUAAGCGGAGGA